rnacentral:lncRNA from 1 species
CAGAUGCUUUGAGCUCAUCAAAAUCAAAUAGGGUUAUGAUCAAUCACUCCACAACUUUUUCUUUCAACUAGCAGCGCAACCGGAAUUCCCUUCCCUUCCUUUUUUCUUCUUUUUCUUCCUCUUCUUUUCUUCCUUUCUUUUCCUCUUCUUCUUUUUCUUCUCUCUGUCCGUCUGAGACUCCCACCUCUCUAUUUCAAUCCAACGCCUCAGCCAGCUCAAACCCAUGAAUUAAGUCACAUCAAAUACUAUUCACCCUUUAUUUAAUAUUAUUAAAUUCCCAUUUUGCCCCUAACACUUCAACAUAUCUACUGUUAUGCCAUUAACUUUUGAUUCCUUUCUAAUUUUACCCUUACCACUUCAACGCAUCUACAACUAUGCCAUUAUCUUUUGAUUCCUUCCAAUUUUACCUCUUAUAUCAAUUUUAAAGGACUAUUCUAUCCCUUUUUAUAUAAAUUUUUUUUUUUUGGGUUAUUACAUCCUCCCCCCCUUAUAUAAAAUUCAUCCUCGAAUUUAAAAAGAUAAAUUACCUGAUUACUUAAAGAGGUGAGGGUAUUUGCUAUUUAUUGUUACCUUGUCAAUCCUCGAUAACCGAUACAUAACCUCAAACUUCCAUCUUUCUUCUUUACAAACAAUACUAGAGCUCCCCAAGGUGACACUCUAAAUCAAAUGAGGCUUUUAUCAAGUAGAUCUUGCAACCGUUCCUUUAAUUCUUUUAUUUUAGUUGGAGCCAUUCUAUAGGGGGAUUUUUGAAGGUUGGUGUGGUAUUGGGAAUCAAAUAAAUUGGAAGUGUUUUACCUUCUAUCUCUACCACACAGGUAGGAUACACAUAUUUCGCUUCUAUACUAUCCCCUACAGAUGUACUAAUAGCUAAGGGAAUAUACAUUAAUAUCUUAUCCUUAGCUAACUUUUUAGCAAAAUAAGGGGACACAAAUGAAUGGGUAGAUCCAUAAUCAAAUAACACUCUAGCUUUAAUCUUAUC